rnacentral:lncRNA from 1 species
UUUGGGUCGAUUUUUAUGGAUUUUGGGUCUAUUUCUGUCAUUCUGGGUCCAUUUCUGUGGAUUCCGGUGCCGUUUCUCCAUCUGGGGCCGUUUUUGGGUCGUUUUUGGCCAUUUUUGGGUCAUUUUUGGCCGUUUUUGGGCUGGUCUUGGGUCAUUUUUGGGCUGUUUUGGGCUGUUUUUGGGCAGGUUUUGUGUCUUCUUUGUCCAUUUUUGCGUCGCUUCUGUCCAUUUCCGUGCGGUUUUGGGCCGUUUUUGGGUCAUUCUGGGUCAUUUUUGGGU